CGAACUUUAAACCGACUUUACCAUUUUCUAAUGGGGUAGGCUCCGAAUAAUGCAAGAACUAAUAGUGGAGUCUGAAGAGUCGAGUUUAUUUUCUAUUUGAAAAGUAAAUGAUCUAGCCUAUUAACUGCAUUUGCAAAAAUAGGCCAAACUAAGACAUGUGCUCAAAUUGUAUAUGAUUGUUUUGUUUUGGCUCACCUAUUGCAUAAAAUAGUUUUCUAUUUCUUAGUUUUUAAAUUGUAUUUUUCUUUUAACAAUUUCCUGGUGAUUCCGUUGCAAUUGGAUUAUUUAUAGGGUCGAUUUGUAACGCAGAAGAGACUUCUAAAGAUGUCAAGCAGGAGAUAUGCUAACUUUUUCGUUCUUGGAGUGACAUUUCUUGUAUUUCUUACAUUUUCGAAAUGUGGGACACUAGUGAGGCGUUCAGCCCGUAAAGGGCACGAGAUGCAGAGGCGAACGGCGGGCAGGUACCAACACGCAACCGUGAAUGAUCAAGUUUAUCAGACUCAGUGGAGAAUGACGACGACUUCAAAACCCAAAUUAAAACAGAAACAGUACCAUUUUAAUGGAAAGAAAUACUGGAAAUACGCAACUAAUGUCACACUUCAGUUAAAUGGUACAUUUCUUUCAGAUGGGUAGCCUCCUUCAAGUGAUCUGUUUCAAUCAUCCAUCAAAAUGGUAGACCACAAUCCAAUGUCAUUCCAUCCUAAAAAUGUACACAGGUAUGUAUGUUUGCACAAGUCCCUCUUGGAUUGUGAGAAAUUCUUCUAUUUGACAUAAGAGUUAUCGAUGUAAAUUAUAUGUGACUUGACUGCACCCUUUGAUGAAAGUGCA
rnacentral:lncRNA from 13 species